rnacentral:rRNA from 1 species
UACGUAGGGUGCAAGCGUUAAUCGGAAUUACUGGGCGUAAAGCGUGCGCAGGCGGUGAUGUAAGACAGGUGUGAAAUCCCUCAGCUUAACUGGGGAACUGCGUCUGAUACUGGAUGGCUUGAGUUUGGGAGAGGGACGCGGAAUUCCAGGUGUAGCGGUGAAAUGCGUAGAUAUCUGGAGGAACACCGGUGGCGAAGGCGGCAUCCUGGACCAAUUCUGACACUGAGGAGCGAAAGCCAGGGGAGCAAACGGG